rnacentral:rRNA from 1 species
UACAGAGGUCCCAAGCGUUGUUCGGAUUCACUGGGCGUAAAGGGUGCGUAGGCGGUUGGGUAAGUCUGAUGUGAAAUCUCACAGCUUAACUGUGAAACUGCAUUGGAUACUAUCCAACUCGAGGAAUGGAGGGGAGACUGGAAUACUUGGUGUAGCAGUGAAAUGCGUAGAUAUCAAGUGGAACACCAGUGGCGAAGGCGAGUCUCUGGACAUUUCCUGACGCUGAGGCGCGAAAGCUAGGGGAGCAAACAGG